rnacentral:lncRNA from 1 species
GACAAAUCAAAAUUUGAGAAAUAUGGUACAUGUUCUUUAGAUUACAACUACAUUUCCCGUUUCUAUUAUAUAUGUCUCGUGUAGAAUGGAAAUGCAUCUUAUUAACAUUUAUGUUCUAUAUUGUCCAGUUUAAUAUCACAUAAAAUAGCUUUUAAAUUCAUAAUAGUAUUUACUAUUUUCAAAUUUUGAAUUUAGGUUAGGGUUUAUAUUUCCGUGUUGGAACUAGUGAUUUGUGGCUAUAGUUUAGUUUGUAGAAGAUUGGGGUUGACAUCGAAAAAGCAUUAAGUAGUUCCAUUACGUAUAGGUUGGCAUGUCUUUCAUGAUCUAUACUAUUUUGUUAUAUAGAAUAACAAUGCCUGUAACUUUUGAUAUUUCAAUACGUUAACAUAUAUUUUGUAACGUGUACUGCUAUAAUCCAAUCAUUUCAUUAAAUCAUAUGUUGUAAAUAGAAACUUUAUAAAUUGUUAAUGUGUC